UUUAAUUUGUACCCAUAUAUUAAUUUCUUUUUGUGCCCAUAUUUUUUAAAGUUUUAUUUGUAUUUGUACCCAUACUUUUUUUUUAAAUUUAUUUGUACCCUUCUUUUUUUUUUUUUGCCAAAUGUACCCAUGCUAAUUAUAUGUACCCAUUCAUGUAAUUUUUUCAAAUUUUUAAUCUUAAAAUGUACUCAUUCUUAAAUAUACCAAUUUGUUAUAUGUAAAAUGUACCAUUUUUUUUAUAUAAAAUCUAUUCAUGUUGUAAACAUUCCUAGUUUAAGUGUGAUUGUAUAAAUUCUAGAUUAGAUUUGAUUCUAGUUAUCAUUUUCUAUUGUAUUUUGUAUUCCUUGGGGAUGAAGGAAUAUCUUCUCUCCCUUUACUACUAUAAAUAAAGGCACAAUGUAGGAAGGAUAACAACACACACACAUUCCCCUACAAUUCUACAAACACAUCUCUCUCUUCUUCUUGCCACCGGCCAUCCUAAACUCGUCAAAUAAAAUAGACCACAACACGUUAUCAGCACGCUCCUACCGCUGCACUUAGGCAUCUGACGUUAGAGAAUUUUUCUACAUCAAACCAGUUCAUCCAUAUCACCACGCAAUCAGGUUCUUUCAAAACAACAGUUUUUAACUCGAUAUUUUUGCAGCCUUGAUAGCAUGAACAUUCACCAUGAUGCAUGACCCAACUUUACAUUUUAUGUAUUUUAGAUUCUACAUAAAUUGUGUAUGCCUCAUAACCAUAAUUGUUGAAAUUAUGUGAAUUUGAUAUUUACUAUGAAUUGAAUCAAAUAUAUUUGUAUAUGCAUCAAAUU
rnacentral:lncRNA from 1 species